rnacentral:lncRNA from 1 species
GGUCCAUUGCUGAGAUGAACACUGAGAUUGGGGAGAGCCACGCCUACCUCUACACAUCACAGACUGAUGAACAGGUCCCAGGCCCAUGGGGACGACGAUUCUAGCUCCUGGGGUUCUGACACCAACAUCCUUUCUAGAAGGACCAAGACUGCGUGGUCAGCGACGCUGAGAUGUGACACAUGACGCCCACCAGACCGGCUAAGGUUGGUGCUUAUUGGGUCAGUCACUACCGAACACCAUUACCACACUGCAAGAACAGAUAGACAAGCAAGACCCUGUGGAGGAAUUCAAGCUGACUUUUGGGUGCUAUAUGAAAUGUCAGUGGCAGUC